rnacentral:lncRNA from 1 species
AUUCCAAUGGUCCUCAAAAGAAAGCAGGGGUAGCCAUCCUUAUAUCAGAUAAACUAAAAUUUACCCCAAAGACUGUAGUGAGAGAUGAAGAGGGACACCAUAUCAUACUUCAAGGAUCUAUUCAACAAGAGGACUUAACAAUCCUCAAUAUAUAUGCCCCGAAUGUGGGAGCUGCCAAAUAUAUAAAUCAAUUAUUAACCAAAGUGAAGAAAUACUUAGAUAAUAAUACACUUAUACUUGGUGACUUCAAUCUAGCUCUUUCUAUACUCGAUGUACAACAAAAUUUAGAGGGAGACAGAGACUUUCUAUAUACCCUUGUCCUCACACAUGCAUAAUGUCCCUCACUAUCAAUACCCUUCAAAAGAAUAGUAUACUUUUUACCAAGGAUGGACCUACAUCAAUACAUUAUAAUCACCCAAAGUCCCAGAGUUUACCUUAGAGGUCACUGUUGGUGUUGUACAUUCAGUGGGUUUGGACAAAUCUAUAAUGUCAUAGCCAUCAUUAUAAUAUCAUAGUUUCACUUUGUCAGAUAGGCUUUUUUCACUUAGUAAUAUACAUUUAAGGUUCCUCUGUGGUUUUUCAUGGCUUGAUAGUGCAUUUGUCUUUAGGGCUGAGUAAAAUUCCAUUGUUUGUAUGUACCACAGUUUAUAUAUCCACUCACCUACUGAAGGACAUGUUGCUUGCUUCUAAGUUUUAGCAAUUACGAAUAAAGCUGCUGUGGACAUCCUUGUGCAGGUUUUAUGUGGGCAUAAGUUUUCAACUCCUUUGGGUAAAUAUCAAGGAUCAUAAUUGCUGAGUUGCAUAGUAAUUAUGUUUAGCUUUGCAAGAAACUGCCAGCUGUCUUCCAGAGUGGUUAUACUAUUUUGCAGUCUCACUAACAAUGCAUGAGAGCUCCUGUUGCUCCACAUCCCCACCAGCAGUUGAUGUCAUCAGUGUUCUGAAUUUGGGCCAUUCAGGUACGUGUGUAGUGGCAUGUUUCAUUGUUGUUUUGAUGUACAUUUCUUGAUCACAUACAGUAUGAAGCAUGUUUUCAUAUGCUUGUUUGUCCUCUGGAUACCUUCUUUGGUAAAGCGUCUCUUAAGGUCUUUGGCCCAUUUUUUAAUCAGGUUGUUUGUUUUAUUAAUGUGGCAUUUUAAAAGAAUUCUUUGUAUAAUUUGGAUUAUAGUCCUUUAUCAGGUAUAUCUUUUGAAAGUAUUGUCUCCCAGUCUGUGGCUUGUCUUCUCAUUCUUUUGAAUUUGUCUUUUAGAGAGUAGAAAUUUUUAAUUUUAAUGAAGUUCAAUUUGUCAGUUAUUUCUUUCAUGGAUCAUGCCUUUUGUGUUACAUCUUAAAAGGCAUCACCACACCUAAGUCAUGUAGGUUUUCUCCUGUGCAAUCAUCUAGGAGUUUUAUAGUUUUGUGUUUUACAUUUAGGUCUCUGAUCCAUUUUGAGUUCAUUUUUAUGAAGGGUGUAAGGUCUAUGUCUGGAUUUAUAUUUUUGCAUGGGGACAUCCAGUUGUUCUAGCUCCAUUUAGUGAGGAGAUUAUCUUUGCUCCAUUGUGCUGCCUUUGCUCCUUUCUCAAAGAUCAGUUGACUGUAUUUAUGUGGGUCAUUUCUGAGCUGUCUCUUUUCUUCCAUGGGGCUAUUUGUGUAUUCUUUUACCAAUACUACACUGUCUUGAUUACUGUUGCUAUCAUAAGUCUUGAAGUCAGAUAACAUCAAUCUUCAAAUCUGAUCUUCCCCUUCAAUCUACCUUCAAUUUUAACUCUAUCUCACAUUUCAGGAGUAAAAAUAAUUCAUCUUAGGUGUCCUUCUUUUCAACAUAACACAAGCACCAAAAACAUUUUCUAGGCUCUAUUUGAUAUUUUAUUGUAUAAAAAUAUGAAUUUCAGGUUGCCAUUAUCAUGGGAGUAUUAUCAUGAGAUAGUCCACCAGAGGUAACUUUAUCCAGAAUCUCUUCAUGUACCUACAGACUGUAUAAUCAGCCCUAUCUUUGGAAGAUCUGCUUUUGAAGAUAUCUCAUAUACUUUGUCAAGGGCUAAGGUCUUGGUUAUGACAGCCCUAAUAA